rnacentral:rRNA from 1 species
GACGGGUGAGUAACGCGUGGGAACGUGCCUUCUGGUUCGGAAUAACUCAGGGAAACUUGAGCUAAUACCGGAUACGCCCUUUUGGGGAAAGGUUUACUGCCGGAAGAUCGGCCCGCGUCUGAUUAGCUAGUUGGUGGGGUAACGGCCUACCAAGGCGACGAUCAGUAGCUGGUCUGAGAGGAUGAUCAGCCACACUGGGACUGAGACACGGCCCAGACUCCUACGGGAGGCAGCAGUGGGGAAUAUUGGACAAUGGGCGCAAGCCUGAUCCAGCCAUGCCGCGUGAGUGAUGAAGGCCUUAGGGUUGUAAAGCUCUUUUAUCCGGGACGAUAAUGACGGUACCGGAGGAAUAAGCCCCGGCUAACUUCGUGCCAGCAGCCGCGGUAAU